GGGAGUGUGGCUCAAUGGUAGAGAGCUUUCAUGGCAUGCCAGAGGCCCUAGAUUCAACUCCUAGCGCUGCCC
rnacentral:tRNA from 1 species